UAUCCUAAAACCUCUUUGAUAAAUCAGUCUAACGUCAAAUCUUGUCAUUUGUAUUUUUGAAAAACCCAAGAAACUGUAUGCUGCUCAAUUAGGAAGCACUAUUUAUACUGCUUUUCCCUCUUUGAAAUAUAAAUGCAAGAAAAUACUUAUAACUGAGAGUGGGUGCCGUGCAUGCACUGUCUGGCAGAAAGCCAGAUGCCGGCUUUUUCUGUGAGUCUGUGCCAUGGCGGACUGCUGAGGAGGAGAGUGAGAAGUCAACAAGAAGCCGAGACCUCUUGUGAGUCAGUGCCAUGCACAGGCUGACUGGGAGACAGCCAGACGCCAGCCCUUCCGAGACCAUGAUCUGGGAGACAAGAAGAGCUAAGGUCUCCCCCCAACCCCCGAGAGCAGCUAGCUGGUCCCGAGAAACACAGACUGUGAUGAUGGCUAAUGAGCCUUCUCAAUGGACGGUUUGACAUGGCCCUACCACAAGCCUACAGGCACCCAGAUGGGACACAUGGGUGUGACUGCCUACAAUGGACAAAAGAAGCAAGGAAGGUCAUGAGUUUGAUUCCCAGUACCAAAAAAAUAAAAAAAAAGAAA